CUUUAAGUAAAAAAGAAACAGCCUUACUGAAUUAAGUCUUGUUCAGUUGUUCUGAUUAAGAACAUUCAGUCAAAACUAAUAAAGUGCAAAAUUAAUCCAUGAGUCCAAUGUUAGCUUCUCAUCCAUCCUAUAUAAGAUAUCAUGAGUCAUUUAUCAGUAACAAAUACAUAGAGAAUUUCACAUAUAAAUUAGUUUUACACUUAACCUGAGCCCUGUUCUACGUCACACAAUCACAUACACCAGAUAAUAAGGCUAAAUGCAAUAAAUACAGACAUUGUUUUGUUAGUUUGUUUACACUAAAAUGUCAACUAGUCAUCAAUUAGCAAAACAUAAGCAAAUAGGAGUGGGUUUUACUAGAAAGUAGAAACCCCAACGAGAAGAGGGAAAAAUAAAAUAAGAUUAAAAAAAUAGCAAUCAACCUUCGGUUCUUUCUUAUUCAAACAACUAUUUUAUAUUUAAAAGGAAAUCACAAUACCUUAAUCACAAAAAAAAAAAAAAAAAAAAAAAAAAAAACCUAGCAAAAACUUACAAUGAUCUUGAUAAUUUUUUGGACAAGAGAGAUGAAUGAGAGUAUCCUGCGAAGGUUGGGGGUGUUUACGUCUCCGGUAGUGUAGUUACAUAGAUCGCUACGGGUUUGGUUGUGUUUGGGUUUGUUGAGAGCGGAAUGAUGAAUAUAACGCUCGACUACAAACCAGUCCUUUCGAAUUCCAAGGGCUUCUUAGAUCUCCGGCGAAGGAAGGUGGUUCUUUGGUCUCCGGGGAGCGGAGAUCGCCAUGGGUCUCCCGGGUUGGGUAUGUUAGAGCGGGAUAGCUGAAGAACGU
rnacentral:lncRNA from 1 species